rnacentral:rRNA from 1 species
UGGGGAAUAUUGGACAAUGGACCAAGAGUCUGAUCCAGCAAUUCUGUGUGCACGAUGAAGUUUUUCGGAAUGUAAAGUGCUUUCAGUUGGGAAGAAAGAAAUGACGGUACCAACAGAAGAAGUGACGGCUAAAUACGUGCCAGCAGCCGCGGUAAUACGUAUGUCACAAGCGUUAUCCGGAUUUAUUGGGCGUAAAGCGCGUCUAGGUGGUUAUGUAAGUCUGAUGUGAAAAUGCAGGGCUCAACUCUGUAUUGCGUUGGAAACUGUAUAACUAGAGUACUGGAGAGGUAAACGGAACUACAAGUGUAGAGGUGAAAUUCGUAGAUAUUUGUAGGAAUGCCGAUGGGGAAGCCAGCUUACUGGACAGAUACUGACGCUGAAGCGCGAAAGCGUGGGUAGCAAACAGGAUUAGAUACCCUGGUAGUCCAUGCCGUAAACGAUGAUUACUAGGUGUUGGGGGUCGAACCUCAGCGCCCAAGCAAACGCGAUAAGUAAUCCGCCUGGGGAGUACGUACGCAAGUAU